UGUUUAUUCGUGCAAUGGUAAGAAUAUUUCAUUCGGUGAAAGAUGGAAUGUUCCAGUCGCCUCAUUGAAUGGAACAUUCCAUCUUCAACCUCGUGAAAAUAUUCUUACCAUUGCACGAAUAAACA